AGGACAGAGAAUAACUUCACCCAAUGCUCUAGGAAGCAGGGUCAAUUAUGACCAACUCCUCCGCCCUGCCCUUGUUAUUGCCUCCUCAAUUUUUCUUGCUGCGAGUGUCAGGCACUUUUAACCCGGCCGGACUAAUAAAUAAGAGUGGGAGUUGACAUCAGCUUAAGCGUCAAAUAUAGCUGACUUUGUUGAAGACAAUUUAGGCUGGACUCUUCUCCGACAAGGCCACCACUGCAGCAGAAAUAUGUAAUUAGAAAUGGGAAUUACAAGCCUUCACAUGUACACUAUAUGUACACAUGCAGGUACCCGAAUGCUAACGAUUACCCUCUGAGGACAAAAAGAGCUAGUCCAUGCAGAACAGCAGGUUAUUACCUGAAACACCUAUUUAAAGAAGGAGGAGGGGGGGACGCUGAGAAAAGAGAGAGAGAGACUUUGUGAAUUCAAUAAGGCUUUUAAUGGCGAGGAGAAUAUUAACAGGGUGUGGAGCGAGUCCCAAGGGCAUAUGCAAAUUCAAGCCAAAAUGCAACAGUAGGAGGCCAGAUGUGGUCUGCAAGCUUGUGUUUAUGUGCAAGUGCUUUUUUUUCUGUACACAGAGUCAAGCUCCCAUGGAGAUGGAGUUAAGCAUGAUGCACAUUACUUCGCACACUGGUUCAGGGAGUAAUGAAUCACCUUGAGAAAGCUUUGUUGGCUAUUUAAUUUUCCACUCUGAUGAGUGUUCAUAACAAGUCAGUCAGAACAUAGGACACUAAAGUAUAAGGUAUAUUACUCUGACAAAGAUAGAUGUUAGGUUCAGCUUUUUAACCACGAUUUGGGAUACACAAAAGAGUGAUUUAGUAAGCAGAGGGAAACAGCAGGUAAUUGGACUGCAUCUGUUUUUUCUUCUGUAUUGGAGUUAAUUUACCUGUCAGCUUGAUAAACAGUCAAAUAGAAAGGUACAUAAGUUUGCAAUGUACCCCACAGCUCACUUCAGCACAAAGCUCGCUCUGCUAAUUUCCCAAUAUGCAAAAUGUUUAAUGGCUUAGUUCCCAGAACAAGAGGCUGCCUUUCUCAUUAGGGCCCGAGCGUAGCUGCUAAGCAGCUGCGAGAGCCCUCUUGUUCCUGUAGUUUCCUUCUUUUGUUAUUAUUAUUAGGGCCCGAGCGUAGCUGCUAAGCAGCUGCGAGAGCCCUCUUGUUCCUGUAGUUUCCUUCUUUUGUUAUUAUUAUUAUUAUUAUUAUUUUUCCUCCCCUUUGAACUGGAAAAUGGCCCACUUCCCACUGGCAAAAACUCAUGAAAUUUGGCAGGACGACCGGGCCUGGUGAAAAAUUUGAUAUUCCGAAGUCGCCCAAACAAGAAAAUGCAAAAUGGCUCCAUAGCGCCCCCUAAGGUGAAAAUUCACACUAUUCACUGUCACGCCUGUACGCGCUUUGUCAAAAUGACACAAAAAUUGACACACACAUGUAUCUCAAUAAGAUCUACAAAAAAGUCAGUGCGGGCGUAUCUGUCAAAUGUACGGUUAAAGGGUUAUUUCGCAUUUUUUGCCGAUCCGCACACAUUGGAAUUUCGCUAACUCCUCCGAAGGCUUUCGUUCCACCGGCACCACAUUUGCUCAGGCCAAUCUACACCCCAUGGCCAUUAAAAGUUAUUCAAAUCAUGACGCUGCACCCCACGGUUUAGGUUCUAGGGGGCGCCAAAGAUAACCCUAAGAUCCACAUAUUUAAAAGUCUUAUAACUUUUUAUUUUUGCCCUCACUGGCCUCCAAGUUUUCUAGGAUGAUGCAAUGUCCAGCCAUCAACACAUUUGUGAAGGAAUUUUUACUCCCCAAAAGAGCGCCCCCCCAUGGCAGGAGAAAAAAGUCCAUUUUUUCUUGUCCUCUAAGGUGAAAAUACACAUUGUUGAGUGUAACACCUGUACGCUUUGGCAAAAUGACACAAAAAUUGACACACACAUGUAUCUCAAUAAGAUCUACGAAAAAGUCAAUGCGCACGUAUCUGUUACAUGUACGGUUAAAGGGUUAUUCCGCAUUUUUUGCCGAUCCGCACACAUUGGAAUUUCGCUAACUCCUCCGAAGGCUUUCGUUCCACCGGCACCACAUUUGCUCAGGCCAAUCUACACCCCAUGGCCAUUAAAAGUUAUUCAAAUCAUGACGCUGCACCCCACGGUUUAGGUUCUAGGGGGCGCCAAAGAUAACCGUAAAAUCCACAUAUUUAAAAGUCUUAUAACUUUUUAUUUUUGUCCCCACUGGCCUCCAAGUUUUCUAGGAUGAUGCAAUGUCCAGCCAUCAACACAUUUGUGAAGGAAUUUUUACUCCCCAAAAGAGCGCCCCCCCAUGGCAGGAGAAAAAAGUCCAUUUUUUCUUGUCCACUAAGGUGAAAAUACACAUUGUUGAGUGCUACGCCUGUAUGUUUUGUCGUAUUGACACAAAAUUUUACAUACACGUGUAUUUCAAUAAGAUCUUCGAAAAAGUCAAUGGCCACGUAUCUGUAAAAUGUACGGUUAAAGGGUUAUUUUGCAUUUUUUGCAGAUUCGCACACAUUGGAAUUUCGCUAACUCCUCCGAAG
rnacentral:lncRNA from 1 species